UACGAACCGUACGAACGUUAUUCGGAAUCACUGGGCUUAAAGGGUGCGUAGGCGGCGCGACAAGUUGGGUGUGAAAUCCCUCGGCUCAACCGAGGAACUGCGCCCAAAACUGUCGUGCUCGAGGGAGACAGAGGUGAGCGGAACUUAGGGUGGAGCGGUGAAAUGCGUUGAUAUCCUAAGGAACACCGGUGGCGAAAGCGGCUCACUGGGUCUCUUCUGACGCUGAGGCACGAAAGCUAGGGUAGCGAACGGGG
rnacentral:rRNA from 1 species